rnacentral:rRNA from 1 species
UACAGAGGGGGCAAGCGUUGUCCGGACUUACUGGGUGUAAAGCGCAUGCAGGUGGCUGUGCAAGUAUGCUGUGAAAGCCCCGUGCUUAACACGGGGAGGCCAGUAUAGACUGCACGGCUCGAGGACUGCAGAGGGUAGGGGAAUUGCUGGUGUAGUGGUGAAAUGCGUAGAGAUCAGCAGGAACACCAAGGCCGAAGGGACCUACCUGGGCAGUAUCUGACACUGAGGAGCGAAAGCGUGGGGAGCGAACAGG